CAGCUCCUCUUCUGAUCCAGCUCACUGCUAUGGCCAGGAAAGCAGUAUAAGAUAACCCACGUCCUUGGGUCCCUGCAUCGAGGAAGACCUGGAUGAAGCUCCUGGCUCCUGGCUUCGAAUUGGGACAGCUCAGGCUGUUGCAGCCAACUGGGGAGUGAGCCAGCGGAUGGAAGACCUCUCUCUCUCUGCCUUUCCUUCUCUCUCAGUGUAACUCUGACUUUCAAAUGUGCCAGCUUAUCAAGCAUCAAUGUAUCUGAGAAGAAACAACUACCACUGACAGGGAUAAAGAUAAAAACACAAGGUGCCACAGAUGGAAUUAAAGACAUUAAUGGCAGGAGAAAAUGAAGAUUAGGAUACUAAGACUCAGAGGGGAGAAUGGGAGGAUAAUACUCCACCAGAUCCUGCUGUGUACUCAGAACUCACACCACCAUACUAGAACAGGUACACAAGAAUCAACACCAGAAGCAUGUAUAUCCACAUAUUACAAUUGACACUAACAGGAAAAAUAAAACUAAUUCAUCAUCUUCUAGGUUGGCUUUGCCACAUAGCAUUGUGUCCGGUAUCGCAAUCACUUGUAUCUUACUCUCAAAUGAUGGGGUGGGAUGGAGAGGGAGAUGGAGAGGGACAGGGAGAGAAGUAGCGGGUAGCGAGGAGAGGGAGAAAUUUUCCAUCCACUAGUUUAUUCCCCAGUGGCAGCAAUGGCUGGAGCUGGGCCAGGCUGAAGCCAGGAGCCUGGAACUCCAUCUGGGUCUCCCACAUGGAGGGCAGGGGUCUAAGUACUUCGGGCA